rnacentral:rRNA from 1 species
AUUGAACGCUGGCGGCGUGCUUAACACAUGCAAGUCGAGCGGUAACAGGCGUAGCAAUACGUGCUGACGAGCGGCGAACGGGUGCGUAAUACAUGGGAAUCUGCCCUUUGGUGGGGAAUAACCCGGCGAAAGCCGGGCUAAUGCCGCAUGAGAUCUUCGGAUGAAAGCGGGGGAUCGUAAGACCUCGCGCCGAUGGAUGAGGCCAUGUCGGAUUAGCUAGUUGGUGAGGUAACGGCUCACCAAGGCGACGAUCCGUAGCUGGUCUGAGAGGACGGCCAGCCAGCCUGGGACUGAGACACGGCCCAGACUCCUACGGGAGGCAGCAGUGGGGAAUAUUGGACAAGGGGGGAAACCCUGAUCCAGCGACGCCGCGUGUGUGAGGAAGGCCUGCGGGUUGUAAAGCACUUUCGAUGGGAACGAAAUGUGCCGGGCUAAUACCCCGGCAAGCUGACGUUACUCAAUGAAGAAGCACCGGCUAACUCUGUGCCAGCAGCCGCGGUAAGAC